rnacentral:rRNA from 1 species
UUGAACGCUGGCGGCAGGCCUAGCACAUGCCAGUCGAGCGGAUGAAGGGAGCUUGCUCCUGGAUUCAGCGGCGGACGGGUGAGUAAUGCCUAGGAAUCUGCCUGGUAGUGGGGGAUAACGUCCGGAAACGGGCGCUAAUACCGCAUACGUCCUGAGGGAGAAAGUGGGGGAUCUUCGGACCUCACGCUAUCAGAUGAGCCUAGGUCGGAUUAGCUAGUUGGUGGGGUAAAGGCCUACCAAGGCGACGAUCCGUAACUGGUCUGAGAGGAUGAUCAGUCACACUGGAACUGAGACACGGUCCAGACUCCUACGGGAGGCAGCAGUGGGGAAUAUUGGACAAUGGGCGAAAGCCUGAUCCAGCCAUGCCGCGUGUGUGAAGAAGGUCUUCGGAUUGUAAAGCACUUUAAGUUGGGAGGAAGGGCAGUAAGUUAAUACCUUGCUGUUUUGACGUUACCAACAGAAUAAGCACCGGCUAACUUCGUG